CUCCUACGGGAGACAGCAGUAAGGAAUAUUGGUCAAUGGACGCAAGUCUGAACCAGCCAUGCCGCGUGGAGGAUGAAGGCCCUCUGGGUUGUAAACUUCUUUUAUUGGGGUAAGAAACCCAUCUUUUCUAAGGUGGUUGACGGUACCCGAUGAAUAAGCACCGGCUAACUCCGUGCCAGCCGCCGCGGAAUAC
rnacentral:rRNA from 1 species